rnacentral:tRNA from 1 species
GCCACAAUGUUGGAACUGGUAGACGAGGCAGAUUCAAAAUCUGUUGCCAAAAUGGCGUCCGGGUUCGAGUCCCGGUUGUGGCACCA